rnacentral:guide_RNA from 1 species
GUAAUAUAUCAACAAAACUAAAGAUAGAGUCGUCGAGAGUAUCUA